ACAGAGGGUGCGAGCGUUAAUCGGAUUUACUGGGCGUAAAGCGCGUGCAGGCGGUGCGAUAAGUCGUGCGUGAAAGCGCCCAGGCUUAACCGGGAGAGGACGUGCGAGACUGUCGGACUAGAGGCAGGUAGAGGCAAGUGGAAUUCCGGGUGUAGUGGUGAAAUGCGUAGAGAUCCGGAGGAACCCCGGUGGCGAAGGCGACUUGCUGGGCCUGAACUGACGCUCAGACGCGAAAGCACGGGGAGCAAACGG
rnacentral:rRNA from 1 species